GUUGAAGAACGUAGCGAAAUGCGAUAAGUAAUGUGAAUUGCAGAAUUCAGUGAAUCAUCGAAUCUUUGAACGCACAUUGCGCCCGCUAGUAUUCUGGCGGGCAUGCCUGUCCGAGCGUCAUUUCAACCCUCAAGCCCCCGGGCUUGGUGUUGGGGAUCGGCGAGCCUCCGCGCCCGCCGUCCCCUAAAUCUAGUGGCGGUCUCGCUGUAGCUUCCUCUGCGUAGUAGCACACCUCGCACUGGGAAACAGCGCGGCCACGCCGUUAAACCCCCAACUUCUGAACGUUUGACCUCGGAUCAGGUAGGAAUACCCGCUGAACUUAAGCAUAUCAAUAAGCGGAGGA
rnacentral:misc_RNA from 1 species